GAUGAACGCUGGCGGCGUGCCUAAUACAUGCAAGUCGAGCGAACAGACGAGGAGCUUGCUCCUCUGACGUUAGCGGCGGACGGGUGAGUAACACGUGGAUAACCUACCUAUAAGACUGGGAUAACUUCGGGAAACCGGAGCUAAUACCGGAUAAUAUAUUGAACCGCAUGGUUCAAUAGUGAAAGACGGUUUUGCUGUCACUUAUAGAUGGAUCCGCGCCGCAUUAGCUAGUUGGUAAGGUAACGGCUUACCAAGGCAACGAUGCGUAGCCGACCUGAGAGGGUGAUCAGCCACACUGGAACUGAGACACGGUCCAGACUCCUACGGGAGGCAGCAGUAGGGAAUCUUGCGCAAUGGGCGAAAGCCUGACGGAGCAACGCCGCGUGAGUGAUGAAGGUCUUCGGAUCGUAAACCUCUGUUAUUAGGGAAGAACAAAUGUGGAAGUAACUAUGCACGUCUUGACGGUACCGAAUCAGAAAGCCACGGCUAACUACGUG
rnacentral:rRNA from 1 species